UCGGAAAAGAACUUGUUCGCGGUGUCCUGGAAACUAUCCGAGCUAAACAGACAUACGUACAUGAGCAUGCACGCGCGUGCACACACGCACAUGUCAUAAACUCAAACCACUGGAUUUCAGAUUGGCGAGUGCAGAGGAGAAAUCUCUCAGCCCUGGGCGAGCAGCAUCAGUGUGGAAUUCAAUGAUCGAUCCAAGGAGGAAAAGUGGGCUCAGGGAAUACGACGAACACCGGAAACUGGGACACCUCUCUACCUGCCAAGUGGUCCAGGCUGCAAGAGGAUUAAGAGAGCUGACUUCCUAAAAGACUAUGGAAAAUAAUGCUUAUGGGAGCAGUGGAGCAUGUAUCCUUGCAAGGGAUUCCUCACAGGGAGAUUCAGUGCUGAUUGAUGUUAGAAGGAGCCUCUCGUAACUAAAGAAGCCCAGCAAAGAAGUCAUAAUACAGAUUCAGAGACAAAAAUUUACCAAAAAAUUUUUGGAAAAUUGAACAAUAGACAAAAAUCUUUCAUUCUAUUUGUAAAGAUAAAAGAUCACAAGAACAAAGAAAACAUCUGUUUGAUGAAAAAUUUCUUCAACCCCAGUAUUUUAGUGAAAAAUUAUCUUCUGUUGUAGUUGUAGCCUUGAAGAACACAUGAAUGAUGAACAUUCUGGAAAAAGGAAUGCCAAGUUGGAGGGUAAGAAAGUGAAAAGAGUCAGGAUUGGGAAGCAAAGAUAGGGCUAGAUACAGAAGUCAUUCGGGAAUGAAGAAAACAAUAAAAAUGGUCUGGUCACUUGUUAUAUCAUUAUAAUAUGAUAAAAGAAUAACACAAUUGAGAUGCAAUCAGAGAAGUAAAACCAAUUUCUAUUGUAAAUGCCCUAGAUGGUUAUAAACAUCAACUGCAUUUGAGAAUUACCAAUUGAUUCAGAGGACUCUGAUGCCCCUAAACCAGUGAUGAAAUACAAGGGAUGCUAUGACAAAGUUUUUCAUGAAACUGAAAACUGUUGAUGUUUAGAGAGUAUUGGAGAAAUAGUUAAAUUGGAAAAUAAUAUAGUCAUAAAAUCCACAAGUGUAAACCAGUAGCACAACUCAAGAACAAACUACAAAUAACUGAAGGAA
rnacentral:lncRNA from 1 species